rnacentral:rRNA from 1 species
UACGGGGGGGGGCAAGCGUUGUUCGGAAUCACUGGGCGUAAAGGGUGCGUAGGCUGCACGGUAAGUCAGAGGUGAAAUCCCGGAGCUCAACUCCGGAAUGGCCUCCGAUACUGCCGUGCUUGAGGACUGGAGAGGAGUCUGGAAUUCACAGUGGAGCAGUGAAAUGCGUAGAUAUUGUGAGGAACACUAGUGGCGAAGGCGAGACUCUGGACAGUUCCUGACGCUGAGGCACGAAGGCCAGGGGAGCAAACGGG